rnacentral:rRNA from 1 species
GACAGAGGGUGCAAACGUUGUUCGGGAUUACUGGGCGUAAAGCGCGUGUAGGCUGCUUCGCAAGUCGGAUGUGAAAGCCCUGGGCUCAACCUAGGAAGUGCAUUCGAAACUGCGAAGCUUGAGUCCUGGAGAGGAAGGCGGAAUUCUCGGUGUAGAGGUGAAAUUCGUAGAUAUCGAGAGGAACACCGGUGGCGAAGGCGGCCUUCUGGACAGUGACUGACGCUGAGACGCGAAAGCGUGGGGAGCAAACAGG